UGAGGUGUAGCUCAGUGGUAGAACACUUGCAUGGCAAGUGUGAGGCACUGGGUUUGAUUCUCAGCACCACAU
rnacentral:tRNA from 1 species